AGUUAGCAACUUUUUGAUGGAGCGAGCACUUUGGCAAUGAAAAUGAUAUUGAAUAGUUUACCCACCUUUAGACUGUCAAGAUGACAUCUAGAAACUAAGCAUAACUCAUCCUUUAAUUUACAAUAGAAAUCCACAUAAGUAUUCAGCUUUGUUUUGGUAGAAAAACUUUGGUCUCCAUCAUCACUACUAUGAAGAGGGGUUUUAUUAUUGGUUCUCACAUGGG
rnacentral:lncRNA from 1 species